rnacentral:rRNA from 1 species
AUGUAAGAGUUUAAAGGUCGAACAGACCUAUAAAUUAAGCGGCUACACCUAAUUAUUAUCUUAAUCCCAACAUCGAGGUCGCAAGCCUCCCUGUAAAUAUGAACUCUGGAGGAAGAUUACGCUGUUAUCCCUAAGGUAACUUACACUAACAAUCACUAAUAAUGGAUCUAAUAAUCAUAAAUCAAUGUUAAAUAAAUCAAAAAGUUAAAUAUAUAUUUUUGUCACCCCAACAAAAUAAAAUUUUAAUAUAGUUAUGUUAAUAUAUAAAUAAAUAUAGAAAAUUAUAUAAAGAUCUAUAGGGUCUUCUCGUCUUCCAAUAAUAUUUUAGCUUUUUAACUAAAAAAUUAAAUUUUAAAACAAAUAAAAUGAGACAGUCAGUUCCUCGUUAAACCGUUCAUUCCAGCCCUCUAUUAAAAGACUAAUGAUUAUGCUACCUUUGCACGGUCAAUUUACCGCGGCCGUUAAAUAAAUCACUGGGCAGGUCAGAACUUAAAUUAAAUUCAAAAGGGCCAUGUUUUUGAUAAACAGGCGAGAACUAUAUUUGCCGAGUUCCUUAUUUUAUUAUAAAGAUUAUAAGUCUAUAGACAUAUUUUUAUACUAAUUUAAUCAUUAUUUCCUAUAAUAAAAAGUUGAUUAUAGUAUUUUAAUAAGAAACUAAAAAUAACAAAAUUAAUUAAUAAUAAAAAUAAAUUAUAACAUAAUUACUAAUGAUGGAUAAUUUUAAACCUACCAAAAUUUAUUAACAAAGACUUUAUAGAAAAAUAUAGAGCUUAUCCCCUAUAGCUUUUAAUUUACCAAAUAAAAUACAAAAUAAUAUAAAAAUUUAAAUGGCAAAACUAAAUUAAAUUUAAUUCUUAAAAAACUAGAUACCUUCAAAACGAAUAAAAUUUCUCCACUAAAUUGUAUUAUAGAUAAUUAUGCCACAUUAACCAAAUAUCAGGUAGCUCUUCUGAAAUCGAGAUAUAAAUAUAAAUUAAAUUAUUUAAUUAACCCUGAUACAAAAGGUACUGCAAAUUAAGCAUACUUAUAAAAAAAUUAAUUUUUAGUUAUUUCAUCAUUUCCUUUACAGUACUAAUAAACUAUAACAAUUUAAAUAUUUUUCAUUAACAUACUACAAAAAAAGAUAUUUCUCAAAAUAAUAAAAAAAUAAAAAGUAAGGUGAAAUUUAUCAAAUUAUCAAAUUAAACUGAAUUGCACAAUUAAAUUCUCAGUGUAAAUGAAAUGCUUACUAUCAAGCUCUAAUUUG